AACGGCGAGUGAAGCGGGAAGAGCUCAAAUUUGAAAUCUUCAAGGUUCUACCUUGACGAAUUGUAGUUUAAAGAAGUGUUUUCUGUUAGAUGAGUAGCAAAAGUUCCUUGGAAUGGGACAUCAUAGAGGGUGAGAAUCCCGUAUUUGGUUAUUCAUUCUAGCUUUGUGAUACACUUUCAAAGAGUCGGAUUGUUUGGGAAUGCAGUCCAAAAUGGGUGGUAAAUUUCAUCUAAAGCUAAAUAUUGGCGAGAGACCGAUAGCGAACAAGUACCGUGAGGGAAAGAUGAAAAGAACUUUGAAAAGAGAGUUAAACAGUACGUGAAAUUGUCAAAAGGGAAGCGUUUGACACCAGUGUUGUUUUUCCGAAAAUCAAUUACGAAUGGCUUGAUUUUGUGUUGUAUUGACCUUAUCAGCUUUCUUCACUUUUUUCGAGUCUUUCUUAAUGCACUUUUCGGUUAACAAGUCAACAUCAAUUUCUUUUGUUGUAAAAGAGUAUUCGGAAGGUGGCUUUCUUUUCGGAGAAAGUGUUUAUAGCCCUAUACUUCUACAAUCGGAGAGAUUGAGGUCUGCAGCGUAGAUCCUUCGGGGUUAGAUACACUUGUGCUAAGUUGUAGCUUUUCAUAGACAACUUGUUGACUAUGUUUAGUCAUGCGGCUUACUCGCUUGUGCUAUUUUACCUAC
rnacentral:rRNA from 1 species